GCGGCAACCUCGCUUGAUGAGUCGGGGGUGAAGGUGCACUUAACCUUUGGGUCGGGCGCUGUCUCCAGUGGCGGGAGGUGGGGACGUCUGCGAACUGGGGCAUUUUACGGUUUCUGAUUUACCUGCUGUUGAAGCUAGGCGGACCCCCAGCCUGCUGUUGGUGAGGUUCAGGUCAUUUCUGCCCUUCUCCAAGUUCAAGUUCAAGUUACUGGGCUUCCUCAGGAGUUGAGCGAGAGGCACACUGCGGAGGCCCAUAAGCGGAGUAGCAGAAGGUCUGCUAAUGCGUGGGGCAGGUAGGCUCAGCGCCUUAAUAAGUAGAGGAAAGAGCUUCGGGGCAAAAUCCAUUGCAAAGGUCAUAAGUCUACUCUGACUCAAUCCAGCAGCCAGAAUGAUCUUGUUACAGUGUCAUGAGUAGCCUCAGGAUAAUGCUCUUGAGCCAUAUAUCAGAAGGGGAUCUCAAUUCUGGGCAAAAACAAAGCAAGGACCACAAGAGUUUUGUGUGAACUAUGCUUUCAACAUGACCUUGCAUGUAAGAACAGGGACUUAAAGAUCAUCUUUGUUGAAGCCAUCAACUCUUCACUUGAGCCUGCAUGUGUCCAAUGGAUGACCUUUUGACAUCAGGGCCCCCAGAAACUUCAUACUCAGAUCAUUCUAAUGCCACUAAUUUCUGAACAGACUUCCUAUGAAGAGCUAUGAAGGCUGAUUACACAUGUACACAUCCCUAAUUAUCUCAUCUCCAAUCACCUGUCCACAUAUCUUAACUAUCCUGAUUCUUUAUGUCAUAAAUAUCCCCAAACCCCAUCCUUUGGAUGUAGAUUUGAGACUUGGGUCUCCUAUCUCUAUACUUCGCCAUCUUGAAAAUAAAUUAUUGCAAAAUUCGUUGUUUCA